AGCUUUGUGCAGUGGCAGUAUUUUAGCCAAUGAGGUUUAUCUGAGGCAUGAUUGUUGCUAAUUGAAGCAUUAAAUAAAACUCAGGCCCCCAAAUUUCAAAAUUUCAAUCCAAAAAUGGG
rnacentral:snRNA from 1 species